CGGGGCGUGGCGCAGCCUGGUAGCGCGCCUGCUUUGGGAGCAGGAAGUCUUCGGUUCGAAUCCGGACGCCCCGA
rnacentral:tRNA from 1 species